rnacentral:rRNA from 1 species
AUGAUUGCAGAUUUUGCUGCUAUGAUUGCAGAUUUCAAGGGCCCAGAUAAGCAUAUGAUUGGGUACAAGGAUCUGCCAACCAUUGAUGCGGAUUCCAAGAAAGAAUUGUAUCCAGGUUGCAAAAAGAAAUAUUCCAGGUUGAGUGCCAUCCUGGCGCUUCUCAGAUUUAAAGCAACAAACGGUCUAUCAAACAAGGGAUUCACAGAGAUGUUAGGUCUUUUGAAAGAAAUUCUUCCUGAAGAUAAUGUGCUCCCUAGAAGCACGAAUGAAGCGAAGAAAAUUGUUUGCCCAUUGGAACUUGAAGUACAGAAGAUGCACGCUUGUGUGAAGGAUUGUAUAUUGUACCGUGGUGAGUACAAAGAUUUUGGUGCAUGUCCCACAUGCAAGCAUGCACAAUACAAGCGCAGAAGAGCAAAGGAAAAGACAACGAUGGCAUAUCACGCGGACCCAUUCAUUCUUGCCAGCGAUGCUACCCAGAUUUUCUUUGUGGAAGACCCCUUGCAUAAGAACGGCCAUUUAGUGAUGCAUGGGAAGAGAAGGGUACUGGGUGUCGACGAUGUUGCCGAUCAGGACGAGUACGAUGAAUUUGAUGUGCCAGCCAAGGGAUCACACACCAGUGCAACAGAGAAGACGUUUAAAAUCAUCAAAAACCCCAAGUUCAUUCGGGGUCAACUUAAUGAUCCCAGUUCCCCCAUGUACAUGGGAAUUAAGCUAGGUAGCACACUCAAUCGAUCUCACUACAGUAUGUGUGAACAAAAAUAUGCAAUCUGGUUUGCGAAUAGCACACGGUUCGUUGAUGAAAGCCGUGUGCCGACCAAACCCCGCCACCCCGCCCACGAUCUGAGUCGUGCUUUCUGA